GGCGCUGUGGCUUAGUUAAAGCACCUGUCUAGUAAACAGGAGAUCUUGUGUUCAAAUCCCAGCAGUGCCU
rfam:Xiphophorus maculatus strain JP 163 A Contig198.42, whole genome shotgun sequence.